rnacentral:rRNA from 1 species
CUUAGCCUCACAGAUAGGGACAACAUUUGGAAACGAAUGCUAAUACCUGAUAUUAUGAUUAUAUGGCAUCGUAUGAUUAUGAAAGCUAUAUGCGCUGUGAGAGAGCUUUGCGUCCCAUUAGCUAGUUGGAGAGGUAACGGCUCACCAAGGCGAUGAUGGGUAGCCGGCCUGAGAGGGUGAUCGGCCACAAGGGGACUGAGACACGGCCCUU